rnacentral:lncRNA from 15 species
UUGAAUUAUUGGAGAAGUGGCAAAAGGAUUAAGAAUGUAAAAUAUACUGUUAUAUCUGUGAUGCAUGAAUAAAUGUCAUAAUGUGGUCAAGAUCUGGUUGAAAGGUUGAAGAAUGUCUGUCUGUGUGUCUGUCUGUCUGUCUGUCUGUCUGUCUGUGUGUCUGUCUGUCUGUCUGUCUGUCUGUCUGUCUGUCUGUCUGUCUGUCUGUCUGUCUGUCUGUCUGUGUGUCUGUCUGUGUGACAUUUAUAAGACAGAUCCACACUCCUGGCACCGAUAACUAAUAUUUAUUUAUUUCCAUCUUUAUUACACACGCUGAUGUUCUGAUCACCAUCAAUACUAAUUUCCUUUGUUACAGUUGAUUUGCUUAUAGAGGCUGUUGUUUUCAGCUUUGUAUUCCCGUAAUAUACUUAUUAUCUCUUUACAUCACUAUUCAUUAAUAUUUCCAACUUUGUUGUGAUUGUUUUUGUCCGAUUAAUUUUGGUUAGAUAAUUAAUUGACAAUCAGCAUACAGAAUUAUUUUAUAUUAUUUAUAUCUUUAUUUUGUUGGUUGAUCAUGAAAAAACAUCCAUUAAUAUACUUCUAACACUAUCCACUUCUUGUCUCCUUUCUUUUCAUUAUUUUUUAAUCUUCCCUUGGUCUUACCUGCACUGCUGUUGAGUUUUACUGUGCUCACCAACAUCAGGUUCAUCAGAUCAGAAUCACUUUUCAUGCAGCUUCACAUAUGGAUACACGUACGACAAAUAUACAUUAUUUCAUACAGGCUCUCUCCCGUUGGGUCUGGGAGCUGUUCAGUGGGUGACGGGUUGUCCCCCAACAGCCAGCUACCUCCUCUGGGCCUGCAUGGGAAAGGUAACCCCUGCCUCAGUAAAAUAAAAUAAAAUAAAAAAUAAAAUAUAUAUAUAAAAUAAUAAUAAUAAUAGUAAUAAAAAUAAAUAGAUAUCGCACAAAAUUGAAACAAACAUAGAUAAAUAAAAAAAUAAGCUUUGUGCUCCCAACUGCAGUCAAGGGUUGUCAUGGCGAUGGCACUUGCUGUGUGUCUACAGGGUCAGAGGUUUCAUUUUGUAAUUGAGUUAGUAACUCAGUUACCACAUUGUAAAAGUAAUUAGUUACUCAGCAAAGUAACUGUGACGUAAUUUUUUAUGUUCUGUGACGCUAUUACAUUCUAUAACAUCUUCUAUAACGUCAAAGAUGAAUAAAAACACUAUAUACAGUAUUUUAGAACAUUCGGUAUUCAUUUGAACUCAAUAGAUUGCAGCCAUAUGCAUAGAAAUAAAAAUAUAUAAAAAAUAAAUAUUGAAAAUAAAAUUCACACGUUACAUAAACAUUCUUCCUUUAACUUCAGUAAGUGAGAAGUAGUGUCGGUACUUCCAGUUUAAAAAGGCUACCUUUGAAUUUCCCUGGCUCGUCGCCAUUGUCUCUGUCUUGUGUUUAUAGUAGUUAGAGCGUGCAGUGAGACAGCGUGCAGUGAGACAGCGUGCAGUGAGACAGCAUGAGCAGGGCAUCCGCCCACCCAGCCAAUCAUCAUCACAUUUGCAACGGUGUCAUCAUCACCACCUCUGCUCUCUCCAUCUGAUGUGUGUCUGUCAGAAAGCCUGACACUGCUGCGCUUCCAAAAUUGUAAUAACAAUUUUCAAAACAAAACUCCCAACACUGCUCAUGAUUAUGCUUCUAGCACCCAGAU